rnacentral:rRNA from 1 species
CGGAGCGUGUGGUUUAAUUGGAUGCUACACGAAGANCCUUACCCAGAAUUUGACAUAUAGGUGGUAGUGAACUGAAAGGGGAACGACCCGCAAGGGAGCCUAUACAGGGUGUUGCAUGGCUGUCGUCAGCUCGUGUCGUGAGAUGUUGGUUUAAGUACCCUAACGAGCGCAACCCUUACUGCCAGUUACAAGUGUCUGGCGGGACUGCCGGCCACAAGCCGGAGGAAGGCGAGGAUGACGUCAAGUCAGCAUGGCCUUUAUAUCUGGGGCUACACACACGCUACAAUGGGAUGGAACAAUGGGUAGCCAAGCCGUGAGGCGGAGCCAAUCCUCAAAACGUUCCUCAGUUCAGAUUGCAGGCUGCAACCCGCCUGCAUGAAGUCGGAGUUGCUAGUAAACGCGCGUCAGCUAUAGUGCGUUGAAUACGUUCCCGGGUCUUGUACACACCGCCCGUCACACUAUGGGAGCUGGCAACACCUGAAGCCGGCAGUCUAACCGCAAGGAGGACACCGUCAAAGGUGGGGCUGGUGACUGGAGUGAAGUCGUAACAAGGUAGCUGUACGGGAACGUGCGGCUGGAUCACCUCCUU